CCCCAAAAUGAAGAAUCAUUUUGCAUCCUGGAAAGGAUAAUAUCAGCAAGUGUUGUGUAGGUCAAAUUACCAACCAACAAAACAAUGAUAUGCAUCAUGUGACAGUAGCAUCGUUUAAGGGAAAAUGCUCUACCAGGAGAUUGAGAGCAUACAUGCUGAUGACCACAUCGCUUCGACAUGUAUCCAUUGGAAUCUUAGGUGCAUUGUACAGUGUUGUAUUAUCGAGUAACACCAUGUGGUCAGCUGUAAGCUUGCUGAUGAAAACAACCUGGGAGUUUUGAAGUGCUGCUGUAGAUUCCUCACAAAGGUCAUACCCAGUUAGCAGUUACUUCUAUGCAACCCAGUUUGAUGUUACCAAAAGGAUCAAAGUAAUUCAAGACAUGUGAACUAAACCAAGAGGCGGCAGGGAAGAACAUGUAUGUGUGUACCUGAGGAUGAUCGUCAAGAUUAGGUCGGACGAAGGGUGUCUUCACACAAUACAUGUUUGGUGAGACACCGGCAUCCUCAUACAUCUCUCUUGUUUAAGUUUUCUCUCCUUGUUUGUUGGUUUCUUUGCUAAAACAAUAUGACAGCAAGUCAUCAGGCAGAAAUAAAAUCACCAUUGGUAUUAAUAAAGAGAUUUCGAGAAAGUAAAAAUACGUCAAAUAGGAGAAGCUUACAUGCCAUCUUGAAAUUCCUAGAAACCGAGUGACAUCCGAUGCAUGACCAACAUACACCGGAAAGAAUACAAACCUGCAUGUUCUGUACACUCUCCU
rnacentral:rRNA from 1 species